AUGACACCCCCCCCGUCCUCAUUCCCCAGGGUUAUCCCCCCUUCUACCCCAUCUACUUCUCGGUGUGAUCCCCUUGUCUGCACUCAGCAUGACCUCCCCGUCGGUCCCCCCAGUGUGACCUCUUUUGCUCUAUCUGUCCCUCAGUAUCACUCCCCCAUCUGCCUCCAUUUACUCCCCAGUGCAACCCUCCCAUCUAUCUCCAGCAUGAUCCUCCCAUCUGACCCCAAUUUAUGCUCCACUCUGAUUCUCCCAUCUCACCCUGGAGUCCUAUCAAAAGGAGAGGGAGAUGCACCAGGACAUAAUGGGUCUUCUCAGGUGGCAAACCCAAAUGCUGCAGACCUAGAUUGACCUACAAGUCCAAACAGCCCAGACUUCCCAUUCUUUGCAAUCCUUAGAGAACUCCAUAGUAGCAGCUCCCUACACCUCCCAACAUACUACAUGGCAUCAUGGGACACAUUCUUUCUCCUACCACUUCCCUCCAAGUCUGAGGGACCACCAGGACAACUACAGCUUCACAUAAACCAAUAAGGAUUCUCACAGGUUUCCUGAGGUAAUGUACUUGGGAUAUACUGUCAGAAACAGAAAACUUAGACCUCUGAUUGGGAAGGUCCAGGUCUUGAAUGAUUACCUUAUUCUGCCAACCAAGAAACAAGAUUUCAUACUCAGAUGCCUCUUCUCACAUAGCAGCAUUCAUGCCUGGUGUGAAAAAGACAUCUCAAGCUCUGUUCUUACACUUCUCAAUACUCCCAUGCACACUAAGGAUUACAUCUAGUAUUUUCAACAUUAUCCUAUGCACCUUGGACACAAGGAGACCCACUGGGACAGCUCAUCCUUCUGAAUGCUGCACCCCCUGCCUGGGAGGACCCCACCCAACCCUUCUGAAUGCUGCACCCUGUUUGUGGCACCCCUUGGGAUAGCCUGGCUGCUGCAUCCCAUCCUUAUGCAGAUCCCAUUCCCAAAGGAACAUUUGGUCGCUCCAGACACUGUCCCCCCAGGGGAGAUCUCCUGCCAAUCUCAUCCAGCUAUCUGAUUGCGUUGGGAAAGAGUGAGGUAACAGAGAAGGGAGGGUGUUUGCAAAGUCAUCACAGCUCAGCCUCUGUAGACUGCAAAGGUCACUCUGCAGCUCCCAAUAACAGUAACUAGUUGGGUGCAUCCUGGACAGUUAACUGGUCAUCUUAAGCCCUCCAAGCCUUGGGUGGGGUGGACUCCCCAUCACAGAACCUAAGAAGACAAGUUACAUGAAAAGUGAGGGGAGAC